rnacentral:misc_RNA from 1 species
GAUGAAGAACGCAGCGAAAUGCGAUAAGUAGUGUGAAUUGCAGAAUUCAGUGAAUCAUCGAGUCUUUGAACGCACAUUGCGCCCCAUGGUAUUCCGUGGGGCAUGCCUGUUCGAGCGUCAUUUACCCCCUCAAGCUCCGCUUGGUGUUGGGCGUCUGUCCCGCUUCGCGCGCGGACUCGCCCCAAAGGUAUUGGCAGCGGUCGUGCCAGCUUCUCGCGCAGCACAUUGCGCUUCUCGAGGCACCGGUGGGCCCGCGUCCAUCAAGCUCACCCCCCCAGUUUGACCUCGGAUCAGGUAGGGAUACCCGCUGAACUUAAGCAUAUCAAUAAGCGGAGGA